UACAGAGGCCAAGAGCGUUGUUCGGAUUUACUGGGCGUAAAUGGCGCGUAGGCGGCGUGGCGUGUCAAGUGGGAAAUCUCCGGGCCCAACCCGGAAAGUGCGCUUGAAACUACCACGCUCAAGUGCGGAAGGGGGAAUCGGAAUACAAGGUGUAGCAGUGAAAUGCGUUGAUAUCCUGUAGAACACCGGAGGCGAAGGCGGAUUCCUUGUACGCAACUGACGCUGAGGCGCGAAAGCCGGGGGAGCAAAC
rnacentral:rRNA from 1 species